rnacentral:rRNA from 1 species
CAGCAGCCGCGGUAAUACGGAGGGUGCAAGCGUUACUCGGAAUUACUGGGCGUAAAGCGUGCGUAGGUGGUGGUUUAAGUCCGUUGUGAAAGCCCUGGGCUCAACCUGGGAAUUGCAGUGGAUACUGGGUCACUAGAGUGUGGUAGAGGAUAGUGGAAUUUCCGGUGUAGCAGUGAAAUGCGUAGAGAUCGGAAGGAACAUCUGUGGCGAAGGCGACUAUCUGGGCCAACACUGACACUGAGGCACGAAAGCGUGGGGAGCAAACAGGAUUAGAUACCCCCGUAGUCCCUGUCUCUUAUAC